AGUGAACGCUGGCGGUAGGCCUAACACAUGCAAGUCGAACGGCAGCACAGUAAGAGCUUGCUCUUACGGGUGGCGAGUGGCGGACGGGUGAGGAAUACAUCGGAAUCUACUUUUUCGUGGGGGAUAACGUAGGGAAACUUACGCUAAUACCGCAUACGACCUACGGGUGAAAGCAGGGGAUCUUCGACCUUGGGCCGAUGGAUUGACCGGAUGUCGGAUUAGCUAGUUGGCGGGGUAAAGGCCCACCAAGGCGACGAUCCGUAGCUGGUCUGAGAGGAUGAUCAGCCACACUGGAACUGAGACACGGUCCAGACUCCUACGGGAGGCAGCAGUGGGGAAUAUUGGACAAUGGGCGCAAGCCUGAUCCAGCCAUACCGCGUGGGUGAAGAAGGCCUUCGGGUUGUAAAGCCCUUUUGUUGGGAAAGAAAAGCAGCAGGUUAAUACCCCGCUGUUCUGACGGUACCCAAAGAAUAAGCACCGGCUAACUUCGUG
rnacentral:rRNA from 1 species